CUGGUCUUGAAAAAAAUGAUAUCACUUUAUAAUUUGGUUUGUCCGUAGAGGUUUUUUUAAAUUUAACUCUAGUAUUACGCAUAAAACAACAAGGAUUAUAAAACACUCGUAGUGCUACAUGAACAAAAUAGACAUAUAGAGAAUAAUUAAAAAAAGUAUAAUGUAAUGUCUGGUUUAGGGAGUUCGAACUUCAGCUUCUUGGUUUCUUAGUUAUUUCUAUACUUAUCAACGAAAAUUGUUGGAAAUGUGUGAAAAUAAAUGCAAAAGCACAGACUACGUAGCUAUUGAAUGUUUAAAUUUUUCCAAAAGUGUUUAAAAAUAAUAAAGUCAAGUUUUUCAUACCUUUUUAUAUAUUUUGCUUGUGACCCGAAAUAUAACCAUCAGUUGCUCCAAUAGAUAAGAGUCAAGCUCAAGAGAAAAUGUAUUUGUAUACCGGUAAUCAAAAUCACUCCUUCCGUGCACCUUGGAUUGCAAAAAGUUGAAACAAACUUUGACUUCAUAUUCUUAAUCAUCAAUUCUUUUAAAAAAGAGGCAAAAGAUACCAGAGGGACAUUCAAACCCAU
rnacentral:lncRNA from 1 species